rnacentral:rRNA from 1 species
UACGAAGGGGGCUAGCGUUGCUCGGAAUUACUGGGCGUAAAGGGAGCGUAGGCGGAUAGUUAAGUCAGAGGUGAAAGCCCAGGGCUCAACCUUGGAAUUGCCUUUGAUACUGGCUAUCUUGAGUAUGGGAGAGGUUAGCGGAACUCCGAGUGUAGAGGUGAAAUUCGUAGAUAUUCGGAAGAACACCAGUGGCGAAGGCGGCUAACUGGCCCAUUACUGACGCUGAGGCUCGAAAGCGUGGGGAGCAAACAGGG